rnacentral:lncRNA from 1 species
CCAUCCUCUUAAGCAUAUAAAUAAUUAAAAUCCCAACAAACAUGAUCAUAAGUUUUCUCCAUAUCAAUUUUACAGAUGAUACCUUCUUUGGCUUACAUAUUAAUGUGACAUACUGAGGGGAAACCAUCUUGCAAAUUUGGGAUAGUGCACUCUGGUAGCCUAUAAAUGGUUUCCAGUCUUACUGCUAGUACAAGCUUAUUAUAUGUUUGUUACUUUUGUUUUGCUGGCAUUCCUAGUUGGUUAUUUGUUUACUGUUAUAUUUGUUAUACUCAUAAUAGGAUAUCGGGGAACCAUACAAAUAGAUGCUUAAUACCUUAUUAAAAUGGAAUCUGCUUAUGAAUAAAUUGGAGACAUAAUUUCUCAUGAUUGAGCAUCUGCCAGUUCUGGGACUAUGGUUGUGUUUCAAUCCGAAUGAUGCUGAAUUUCAAUGUUGAUUGGUAUUUGUUUUUCUGUUUUUCCUUUCAUUUCUCUUUUAUAUUCUGUUCGUAUACAUGCACAUACGCAUGGGUAGUAACAAACUUCACCAAAUAGUUCUCGUUUCUGUUUCUUAUUUUUUAUUCAUUCUGUCCCUUCUCGUUUACCUUAUGGCCAAAUUAUUCAUUACAAGGUACGAACUUUUCAACCCAGAGUUAGUUAAUUGACAAAAGUUUCACUUUUCUUUCAUUAUCAAAUUAUUUUAGAUAUCAUAAGAUGUGUUUUAUUUUUCUCAGAAGACUCUU